CAGCAGCCGCGGGAAAACGUAGGGGGCAAGCGUUAUCCGGAAUUACUGGGUGUAAAGGGAGCGUAGACGGUUAAACAAGUCUGAAGUGAAAUGCCGGGGCUCAACCCCGGAGCUGCUUUGGGAACUGUAGAACUGGAGUGUCGGAGGGGUAAGCGGAAUUCCCAGUGUAGCGGUGAAAUGCGUAGAGAUGUGGAGGAAUACCGAUGGCGAAGGCAGCCCCCUGGGAUAACACUGACGUUCAUGCUCGAAAGCGUGGGUAGCAAACAGGAUUAGAUACCCGUGUAGUCCCUGUCUCUUAUAU
rnacentral:rRNA from 1 species